AUUGAACGCUGGCGGCAGGCUUAACACAUGCAAGUCGAGCGGGGUGAGGUGCUUCGGUACUGAUCCUAGCGGCGGACGGGUGAGUAAUGCUUAGGAAUCUGCCAUUUAGUGGGGGACAACAUUCCGAAAGGGAUGCUAAUACCGCCUACGUCCUACGGGAGAAAGCAGGGGAUCUUCGGACCUUGCGCUAAAUGAUGAGCCUAAGUCGGAUUAGCUAGUGGGUGGGGUAAAGGCCUACCAAGGCGACGAUCUGUAGAGGGUCUGAGAGGGUGAUCCGCCACACUGGGACUGAGACACGGCCCAGACUCCUACGGGAGGCAGCAGUGGGGAAUAUUGGACAAUGGGCGGAAGCCUGAUCCAGCCAUGCCGCGUGUGUGAAGAAGGCCUUUUGGUUGUAAAGCACUUUAAGCGAGGAGGAGGCUACCUGGAUUAAUACUCUAGGAUAGUGGACGUUACUCGCAGAAUAAGCACCGGCUAACUCUGUGCCAGCCGCCGCAGUAA
rnacentral:rRNA from 1 species